ACGGCAACCAGCAGGAUUCCAGCAGCUGUGGAGUUCUGAUCUUGAUGGUAAACAUUCAUGUCCAUUGUAAAAGCUAUUCAUCAUACAUGUGAAUUGCUGUUACAAAUGUAAUAAUGUGUUACAGUUUGCCAAGGAGUUUCUUCAGACCCGAACCAUUCAUGCAGUGAAGACCUCUGCAGAAGAUGUGUUUAUUAAAUCACUCCCAAAAAACGUUUAAAGUGACAAUACACAUUCAAUGUCUACCAUAAUGUAAAACCUGUUAAAUUAUUUGGUUAGGUGCAGCGUAAGACCAUCAAUAUACACCAGCAUAAACAAUACAGAAAGAUAAUACACUAAGGUGAGGACAGUGGCAUCUUUUGAAAUGGUGGUGCCCUAGGCAUGACCGAUCUGGGGCACACCCCAAUGUAAAGUUGCCCACUCCGUCCUGCCAGCGUCACACCUCUUAAUGUUCAAUACUGCUUAUAUGUUGAACGUGAGUGCUGUGCAGCGCAGCGCAUCCCAUUCUAUGCACUCCUCAUAUUCUUCUAGAUCUAAGAUUCGCUUCAGUUGUACAAUCAAGUAGAUGGGCUGCUUAACAGCCUAUAAAUGCUGACCUAGUAAUUUAGUCAUAUCUACAUGCAUAUUUAGCAAAUUUUAGACCAAAAAUAUAUGAAAUGAAAGCUAUUUUUCCAUCAAAUCUAUUCUAGCCUAAAAUUUGCAGUUCAAUUGUCUAAUCUGUUCCAUUCCCUGUUUACUUAUUAACUCCUCCAUAUUGUUAAUGUUUAUAUAGCAGUGAGUACGGUAUUUUAAAGUCUAUUCUUCAUAUCUUUUUGCUGCUACAUAAGGUAGAGAGUGACAAAUGAUUCCCAGAUGACUUUUCCCUUGGUCACCGUUGCAGCUACACGCGGUUUGUUCUCCCCCCACAUAGCAGGUUAUACAGAAUACUCCUAAAUGUCAAGAAAUGAUUACGUUAGAGCCAAAGCUGAGCUUCAAAAAUUGUGGGGAAAAAACUUUUUUCACCAAUAUUGAAUUUUAGAAAAAAGUUCCCUGCCCAAUUUCUGAUCAUUUUAAUUUUACUGAGAGCCCUCUAAAAUUUCUAUGUAUUAACAAUAGCAGACAAUGGUGGAUACUUGAGAACCAUUUCCUAUCAGAUUGCGCUAUGUUUAAACUGUGGGGUAUUUCUAACAAACUAAAAGGGGUCACAUAGAUGCUUGUAUUCAAAAUUGAAAAAGCUCUACAAUUCUUUCUAUUCUACGCCUCCAACCCUCAACAUUGAAAUUGUAGUUUGUAAUAAUAUAAAAUAAGUACAUUGUAAUAUGCUUUCUGGUUACGAUUUGGUGAGUUGUAACUAUUUUUUAUUUUUACAGUUCCAGAGGGAAGGAGCAAACCCAUUUGAGGAGUCACUGCAUAAGAGACUAUUGGAUACUGAAUGGCUGUACUACAGUGGCGGCUCUAGACUUGGCGAGGCCUUAGUCGAAACUCAUACAUGAGGCCACCACGAACACCAUUAUUGGAAAAAAAAAUAGCAGUUGACUUUGUGUAUAAGAAGCUGUAGAUAUGUUGAGUCUCUGUUUACAUCGUUGCAUUGUCUACCUGAGUGUGUGUCUGGCAGUGAGUAUCCUUGUAUCUGUAUGUAUGUUUCUCUGAGUAUGUGUAUGUUUGUGUACGGCCUUUGGCACUGAGUUUUUGGCGAAGCUAUGUUUUAUGACAGUGUGUAUAAUGAUUGCCUUCAGGGGGUGGCAGGGUGAGUGUAAAAGAGCAGGAGGGUGCCAGAGUGUUGACAGUGUGUAUGGAGGGAGGUGCCAGAGUGCGGAGAGUGGUGCCCAUGUGAGAAUAGAUGUGACAG
rnacentral:lncRNA from 1 species